rnacentral:lncRNA from 1 species
CACCAAGAACAUGAAGUGCGUAUCUCACACUUGGAAGAUAUUCUGGGAAAACUGAGAGAAAAAUCUGAGGCCAUCCAGAAGGAACUAGAACAGACCAAGCAAAAAACAAUCAGUGCGGUUGGUGAGCAGCUCCUGCCCACGGUCGAGCACCUCCAGCUGGAGUUGGAUCAGCUAAAGUCAGAGCUGUCCAGCUGGCGACACUUGAAGACCGGCUGUGAGACAGUGGAUGCCGUACAAGAAAGAGUGAGC